rnacentral:ncRNA from 1 species
AGCCAGGGGUGCUGACCUUGUGUCGGCUGAGAUGAUACCCUCUGACCUGAUCCGGAUAAUGCCGGCGUAGGAAGGAUAAUAAA